rnacentral:rRNA from 1 species
GAUGAACGCUGGCGGCGUGCCUAAUACAUGCAAGUCGAGCGAACGGACGAGAAGCUUGCUUCUCUGAUGUUAGCGGCGGACGGGUGAGUAACACGUGGAUAACCUACCUAUAAGACUGGGAUAACUUCGGGAAACCGGAGCUAAUACCGGAUAAUAUUUUGAACCGCAUGGUUCAAAAGUGAAAGACGGUCUUGCUGUCACUUAUAGAUGGAUCCGCGCUGCAUUAGCUAGUUGGUAAGGUAACGGCUUACCAAGGCAACGAUGCAUAGCCGACCUGAGAGGGUGAUCGGCCACACUGGAACUGAGACACGGUCCAGACUCCUACGGGAGGCAGCAGUAGGGAAUCGUCCGCAAUGGGCGAAAGCCUGACGGAGCAACGCCGCGCGAGUGAUGAAGGUCUUCGGAUCGUAAAACUCUGUUAUUAGGGAAGAACAUAUGUGUAAGUAACUGUGCACAGCUUGACGGUACCUAAUCAGAAAGCCACGGCUAACUACGUG